rnacentral:rRNA from 1 species
CCUACGGGGGGCAGCAGUGGGGAAUAUUGGACAAUGGGCGAAAGCCUGAUCCAGCCAUGCCGCGUGUGUGAAGAAGGCCUUCGGGUUGUAAAGCACUUUCAGUGGGGAAGAAAGCCUUGGGGCUAAUACCCUCGAGGAAGGACAUCACCCACAGAAGAAGCACCGGCUAACUCCGUGCCAGCAGCCGCGGUAAUACGGAGGGUGCGAGCGUUAAUCGGAAUUACUGGGCGUAAAGCGCGCGUAGGCGGUCUGAUAAGCCGGGUGUGAAAGCCCCGGGCUCAACCUGGGAACGGCAUCCGGAACUGUCAGGCUAGAGUGCAGGAGAGGAAGGUAGAAUUCCCGGUGUAGCGGUGAAAUGCGUAGAGAUCGGGAGGAAUACCAGUGGCGAAGGCGGCCUUCUGGACUGUCACUGACGCUGAGGUGCGAAAGCGUGGGUAGCAAACAGGAUUAGAUACCCUUGUAGUC